CCAAAGGCUCUUUUAAGAGCCGCCCACAGAGUCGAGAAGGGGCAG
rfam:Lepisosteus oculatus linkage group LG26, whole genome shotgun sequence.